rnacentral:rRNA from 1 species
UACGAAGGGGGGCUAGCGUUGCUCGGAAUCACUGGGCGUAAAGGGUGCGUAGGCGGGUCUUUAAGUCAGAGGUGAAAUCCUUGGAGCUCAACUCCAGAACUGCCUUUUGAUACUGAGGAUCUUGAGUUCGGGAGAGGUGAGUGGAACUGCGAGUGUAGAGGUGAAAUUCGUAGAUAUUCGCAAGAACACCAGUGGCGAAGGCGGCUCACUGGCCCGAUACUGACGCUGAGGCACGAAAGCGUGGGGAGCAAACAGG